UCCGAUUGAUCCCGUCGGACCCCACUGCUAUCGAGAUGGGACUAAGGUAUGCUAGUCGAACGACCAGAACUAUGUCUGGAAGUGGCACACUGCUCAGUAACACGUAGCUAACCUACCCUUAGGACGUGGAUACCCCCGAGAAAUUGGGGUUAAUCCGCGAUAGAUGUAAUGUCCUGGAAUGGUAUUACGUCUAAAGGUAUUUCAUACAUGUUUGAAAUAUGCCUAAGGACGGGGCUGCGGCCGAUCAGGCUGUUGGUGAGGUAAUGGCUCACCAAACCUUUGACCGGUACGGGCCAUGAGAGUGGUACCCGGAGACGGACUCUGAGACAAGGGUCCAGGCCCUAAGGGGCGCAGCAACCGCGAAACCUCCACAAUGCACUCACGUGCGAUGGGGCUAUCUCGAGUGCCACCUGAUGAAGGUGGCUUUUCCUUGGUCUUCAAAGCCUUGGGAAUAAGAGGGGGGCAAGACUGGUGUCAGCCGCCGCGGUAACACCAGCCCCUCGAGUGGUGGGGAUGAUUAUUUGGCCUAAAGCGUCCGUAGCCGGCCGAGCAAGUCUUCCGUUAAAUCCAGCAUCUCAAGCGUUGGACCGCGGGAGAUACUACACGGCUAGAGAGUGGGUGAGGUCAGCGGUAUUCUGGGGGUAGGGGCGAAAUCCUUUGAUCCCCGGAGGACCACCAGUGGCGAAGGCUGCUGACUAGAACACGUCUGACGGUCAGGGACGAAAGCUGGGGUAGCGAACCGGAUUAGAUACCCGGGUAGUCCCAGCCGUAAACGAUGCAUGCUAGGUGUUGGGUUGGCCACGAGCCACCCCAGUGCCGCAGGGAAGCCGUUAAGCAUGCCGCCUGGGAAGUACGAUCGCAAGAUUGAAACUUAAAGGAAUUGGCGGGGGAGCACCACCAGGCGUGAAGCCUGCGGUUUAAUUGGAGUCAACGCCGGGAACCUUACCGGGAGCGACAGCAGAAUGAAGGCCAGAUUGAAGAUCUUGCCAGACGAGCUGAGAGGAGGUGCAUGGCCGUCGCCGGUUCGUGCCGUGAGGUGUUCUCUUAAGUGAGAUAACGAACGAGACCCGUGCCACAUGUUGCCACCAGUAUCUAAAGGAUAGCUGAGCACUCUUGUGGGACCGCAGCCGAUAAGGCUGAGGAAGGUACGGGCAACGGCAGGUCAGUAUGCCCCGAAUCUCCCGGGCCACACGCGGGCUGCAAUGGUACAGACAGAGGGCUGCCACCCCGAAAGGGGGAGCCAAUCCCUAAACUGUACCUCAGUUGGGAUCGAGGGUUGCAACCCACCCUCGUGAACAUGGAAUGCCUAGUAACCGCCAGUCAUCAUCUGGCGGUGAAUACGUCCCUGCUCCUUGCACACACUGCCCGUCGAACCACCCGAAUGAGGUUUGGGUGAGGAAUGGUCGAAUGUUGGCCGUUUCGAACCUGGGCCUCGUAAGGAGGGUUAAGUCGUAACAAGGUG
rnacentral:rRNA from 1 species